GGUAGCCUAGUGGUUAGAGACAGGUAGUCUAGUGGUUAGAGACAGGUAGCCUAGUGGUUAGAGACAGGUAGCCUAGUGGUUAGAGACAGGUAGCCUAGUGGUUAGAGACAGGUAGCCUAGUGGUUAGAGACAGGUAGCCUAGUGGUUAGAGACAGGUAGCCUAGUGGUUAGAGACAGGUAGCCUAGUGGUUAGAGGAGGUAGCCUAGUGGUUAGAGACAGGUAGUCUAGUGGUUAGAGACAGGUAGACUAGUGGUUAGAGACAGGUAGCCUAGUGGUUAGAGACAGGUAGCCUAGUGGUUAGAGACAGGUAGUCUAGUGGUUAGAGACAGGUAGCCUAGUGGUUAGAGACAGGUAGCCUAGUGGUUAGAGACAGGUAGCCUAGUGGUUAGAGACAGGUAGCCUAGUGGUUAGAGACAGGUAGACUAGUGGUUAGAGACAGGUAGACUAGUGGUUAGAGACAGGUAGUCUAGUGGUUAGAGACAGGUAGCCUAGUGGUUAGAGACAGGUAGCCUAGUGGUUAGAGACAGGUAGCCUAGUGGUUAGAGACAGGUAGACUAGUGGUUAGAGACAGGUAGUCUAGUGGUUAGAGACAGGUAGACUAGUGGUUAGAGACAGGUAGCCUAGUGGUUAGAGACAGGUAGACUAGUGGUUAGAGACAGGUAGCCUAGUGGUUAGAGACAGGUAGCCUAGUGGUUAGAGACAGGUAGUCUAGUGGUUAGAGACAGGUAGUCUAGUGGUUAGAGACAGGUAGCCUAGUGGUUAGAGACAGGUAGUCUAGUGGUUAGAGACAGGUAGCCUAGUGGUUAGAGACAGGUAGACUAGUGGUUAGAGACAGGUAGACUAGUGGUUAGAGACAGGUAGCCUAGUGGUUAGAGACAGGUAGACUAGUGGUUAGAGACAGGUAGCCUAGUGGUUAGAGACAGGUAGCCUAGUGGUUAGAGACAGGUAGACUAGUGGUUAGAGACAGGUAGCCUAGUGGUUAGAGACAGGUAGCCUAGUGGUUAGAGACAGGUAGACUAGUGGUUAGAGACAGGUAGCCUAGUGGUUAGAGACAGGUAGACUAGUGGUUAGAGACAGGUAGCCUAGUGGUUAGAGACAGGUAGCCUAGUGGUUAGAGACAGGUAGCCUAGUGGUUAGAGACAGGUAGACUAGUGGUUAGAGACAGGUAGCCUAGUGGUUAGAGACAGGUAGACUAGUGGUUAGAGACAGGUAGCCUAGUGGUUAGAGGCAGGUAGCCUAGUGGUUAGAGACAGGUAGCCUAGUGGUUAGAGACAGGUAGCCUAGUGGUUAGAGACAGGUAGACUAGUGGUUAGAGACAGGUAGACUAGUGGUUAGAGACAGGUAGCCUAGUGGUUAGAGACAGGUAGCCUAGUGGUUAGAGACAGGUAGCCUAGUGGUUAGAGACAGGUAGCCUAGUGGUUAGAGACAGGUAGCCUAGUGGUUAGAGACAGGUAGCCUAGUGGUUAGAGACAGGUAGCCUAGUGGUUAGAGACAGGUAGCCUAGUGGUUAGAGACAGGUAGUCUAGUGGUUAGAGACAGGUAGCCUAGUGGUUAGAGACAGGUAGACUAGUGGUUAGAGACAGGUAGCCUAGUGGUUAGAGACAGGUAGCCUAGUGGUUAGAGACAGGUAGCCUAGUGGUUAGAGACAGGUAGCCUAGUGGUUAGAGACAGGUAGCCUAGUGGUUAGAGACAGGUAGCCUAGUGGUUAGAGACAGGUAGACUAGUGGUUAGAGACAGGUAGACUAGUGGUUAGAGACAGGUAGACUAGUGGUUAGAGACAGGUAGACUAGUGGUUAGAGACAGGUAGCCUAGUGGUUAGAGCGUUGGACCUGGUAACCGGAAGGUUGCAAGUUCGAUUCCCCGACAUUUCCCCGACAUUUCCCCAACUCGAUUUACCUGACAAGGUAAAAAUCUGUCGUUCUGCCCCUGAACAAGGCAGUGAACAAGGCUCUAUUCCUAGGCAGUCAAUGAAUAUAAUAAUUUGUUCUUAACGGACUUGCCUA